rnacentral:rRNA from 1 species
AUUGAGCGCUGGCGGCAUGCCUUACACAUGCAAGUCGAACGGCAGCACGGGAGCAAUCCUGGUGGCGAGUGGCGAACGGGUGAGUAAAGUAUCGGAACGUGCCCAGUCGUGGGGGAUAACGUAGCGAAAGUUACGCUAAUACCGCAUACGAUCUAUGGAUGAAAGCGGGGGAUCGCAAGACCUCGCGCGAUUGGAGCGGCCGAUAUCAGAUUAGGUAGUUGGUGGGGUAAAGGCUCACCAAGCCGACGAUCUGUAGCUGGUCUGAGAGGACGACCAGCCACACUGGGACUGAGACACGGCCCAGACUCCUACGGGAGGCAGCAGUGGGGAAUUUUGGACAAUGGGCGAAAGCCUGAUUCAGCCAUGCCGCGUGCAGGAUGAAGGCCUUCGGGUUGUAAACUGCUUUUGUACGGAACGAAAAGGUUUGGCCUAAUAAGCUGAGCUCAUGACGGUACCGUAAGAAUAAGCACCGGCUAACUACGUGCCAGCCGCCGCGGUAA